GAAGCUUCCAACAUCCUGCUGAACAAGAAGGAGCGGAGGCGCAACAGCAUCAAUCGGAACUUCGUCGGGGACUACCUGGGGCUGGAGGAGCGGCCCGAGCUGCGUCAGUUCCUGGGCAAGAGGGAGCGGGUGGACUUCGCCGAUUCGGUCACCAAGUACGACCGCCGCUUCAAGGUGAGGCACUAGUGGGUGGGCACAGCAAGACCCUGACUACAGCCUGGCACCCUCACCUGGCCCAGAUGCACCUGCCCACAGCCAGAUAUCCCCCAGCCUAGAUCCAUCUGUUCCAUCACAGGUAUACCCUCACCUGGCACAGACACACCUGUCCAUAGGUAUCUAUCCCCCAGCCUAGAUCCAUCUGUUCCAUCACAGGUAUAUCCUCACCUAGCCCAGGCACACCUGCCCACAGGUAUCUAUCCCCCAGCCUAGAUCAAUCUGUUCCAUCACAGGUACAUCAUUACCCGGCACAGACACACCUGCCCAC
rnacentral:lncRNA from 1 species